rnacentral:misc_RNA from 1 species
AACGCACCUUGCGCUCCUUGGUAUUCCGAGGAGCAUGCCUGUUUGAGUGUCAUUAAAUUCUCAACCAUUCAAGUUUUGUAAACUUCGAUUGGCUUGGAUCAUGGGAUUUGCGGGCUUUCACAAGUCAGCUAUCCUUAAAUGCAUUAGCAGAGCUUUUGCCGCUAACUUUUGGUGUGAUAGUUAUCUAUGCCAUUAGUGAGCCGCAUGAAUAGAGCUUCGCUUCUAAUUGUCUUUGCAGACAACUUUUGACAAUCUGACCUCAAAUCAGGUAGGACUACCCGCUGAACUUAA